GACGAACCGUGCGAACGUUGUUCGGAAUCACUGGGCUUAAAGGGCGCGUAGGCGACUGACCAAGUCUGGGGUGAAAUCCUGCAGCUUAACUGUAGAAGUGCCUGGGAUACUGGUCGGCUCGAGGGAGGUAGGGGUCUGUGGAACUGCUGGUGGAGCGGUGAAAUGCGUUGAUAUCAGCAGGAACGCCGGUGGCGAAAGCGACGGACUGGAUCUCUUCUGACGCUGAGGCGCGAAAGCUAGGGGAGCAAACGGGAUUAGAUACCCCGGUAGUCCUAGCCCUAAACGAUGGGUACUAGAUUGUGAACUAACUUGGGUCCACAGUCGAAGCAAAAGUGUUAAGUACCCCGCCUGGGGAGUAUGGUCGCAAGGCUGAA
rnacentral:rRNA from 1 species